rnacentral:pre_miRNA from 1 species
UACAUACUCCCUCCGUCCGAAAAUACUUGUCAUCAAAAUGGAUAAAAAGAGAUGUAUCUAGAACUAAAAUACAUCUAAAUACAUCCCCUUUUAUCUAUUUUGAUGACAAGUAUUUCCGGACGGAGGGAGUAAUUA